rnacentral:rRNA from 1 species
GACGUAGGAGGCGAGCGUUGUCCGGAGUCACUGGGCGUAAAGGGCGCGCAGGCGGUUGCAUUGGCCAUUUCGUGAAAGCCCCCGGCUCAACCGGGCGGUUGCGGGUGGGACCGUGCGACUGGAGGGUGCUAGGGGCCAGUGGAAUUCCCGGUGUAGUGGUGAAAUGCGUAGAUACCGGGAGGAACACCCGCAGCGAAGGCGGCUGGCUGGGGCAUUCCUGACGCUGAGGCGCGAAGACUCGGGGAGCGAACGGG